GUGGGGAAUCUUCCGCAAUGGACGAAAGUCUGACGGAGCAACGCCGCGUGAGUGAUGAAGGUCUUCGGAUUGUAAAGCUCUGUUAAUCGGGACGAAAGAGCCUAGUGUGAAUAAUGCUAGGAAGUGACGGUACCGGAAUAGAAAGCCACGGCUAACUACGUGCCAGCAGCCGCGGUAAUACGUAGGUGGCAAGCGUUGUCCGGAAUUAUUGGGCGUAAAGCGCGCGCAGGCGGAUCUGCCAGUCUGUCUUAAAAGUUCGGGGCUUAACCCCGUGAUGGGAUGGAAACUACAGAUCUAGAGUAACGGAGAGGAAAGGGGAAUUCCUAGUGUAACGGUGAAAUGCGUAGAUAUUAGGAAGAACACCAGUGGCGAAGGCGACUUUCUGGACGAAAACUGACGCUGAGGCGCGAAAGCCAGGGGAGCGAACGGGAUUAGAAACCCGUGUAGUCC
rnacentral:rRNA from 1 species